GGUGUGUCACGGAAAAGAAUAAGAUCUUAGCAAAAAAUUGAAAUCAAACAAAAGAGAUAAAUCUAUAAACAUGGAAAAUAAGAAUAUUUGGGGAUUAGGAAUUAAAGCAAAAAUUUGAAGAAAAAAUAGAGAAAAGCAAACAAUAUUAGGAUAACUGCCUUAGAACAUUGCGCAUGUCGUCACUGAGCUAGCCAUUCACACUACGGAAAUGUGCUUAAUUGUAAAGAGAAAAGAAGUUCAGAUGUAUUGGCGAAUUUUUAAGAAGGCUCCAAAGAAUGUUCAAUAUUAUUUUCGGGUAAAGCUACAGAAAUAGGAGCAAUAGCGGGCAUGUUUGCAACGGGCAUUGAAAUCGGUAGAUAGCCUAAGAAAGAAUUUGUAAAAGAUUGGGGCGUUAGUGGUGAAUUCGUUGUAGGGAUAUGCAUAACAGGUGGUGUAUAAGCGACUGAAGGAAGACCCGAGAGCACAGUAGGGACAGCAGGUAGUGGAGUCGCAUAGUGAGCGUAUGAUAAUUGCAAGGGUCUCCCGCCAUAACGAUAACCAUUUAAUUUUUCAAUUGAGGAUGCUGCAUCAUUUUCAUUCUCAAAUUGAACGACACCGAAACCUUUAGAUCGGCCAGUGGGCUCAUAGGCGAUUCGGGCACGAAUGACUGAGCCAAUAUCUGUGAAUAGGUCCAAUAAA